rnacentral:misc_RNA from 1 species
UUCAACAUGAAUGUCAAGAAUCAUUCAUCAAACAAUUUUAAAUAAAGCAAUGGUGAUCAACAAAAUAGAACAAGUAAUUUCUAAAAGAUGAAGAACUCAAACUGCUUCGAUCAAAGCUGAAGAAUGCAACAAAAAACAUACAAAACAAACCUGUGCUGCUUCAUUUUCAGAAUCGCGAGAUCCGAGACACGCGGACUGAAAAAAUUUACUCCGAGUAGAUCGAGAUCUCCGAACGACCACCGAUGAUGAAGAUGAAGCCACCAGAGAUGACGGGUUCUUCAGCUGAAAAUGGA